rnacentral:lncRNA from 1 species
UGCCGGCCCAUCGUGGUGGUAACUGCUGUAGGCGUUGGUUCCACAUAAGUAGAACCACACGGAUGUCAGAAUAGUAGGUUUCACUACUAGGAUGGUCUUCUUUCUGUCUCCUGUCCCCCAUCAGUCCCUGAGGCACAAGUGACCUCAAAACAACAAACAGCACCCACAUUACCAGCACUGGCCUAUGAGACACAGAGGCACAAGUGACCUCACAACCACAAACACCAACCACAUGACUAGCAGUGGCCUAUCAGGCACUGAGACACAAGGCCUAUCAGGCACUGAGCCACAAGUGACCUCACAACCACAAAGUGCAGCCAUGCAGCUAGGCCUAUCAGGCACUGAGGCACAAGUGACCUCACCAUCAGCACCAAAGCUAUGGGCAUGCUCUUGGCCUACCCGCUUCAGAGAUACAGCUCACCUCACAAGCAAAAAUGGCAUCAACGUGCCUGCUGCUGCCCUAUCUGRAACCGAGACACAAGGGAUCUGAAAAGUGCAAACCUUCACAGAGGAGAAGCUCACCUGGGCCACUCUCACGACCCUUGAUUACCCUGUUAUCACUCCGUACAGAACAGUCUUCUGCAAACACCUUUCAUCUCCUGGCAAGACUCUCUCCAGCUCAUGGCACAGCUCCACUCUGUCACCUGCACACAAAUCACAAAAGGGAACGAUUGCUCUUGCUUUUCCUUUAGUACCAUCAAGUCCGAGCUGGGAGGCUUUGCACUGCAGCACCUGCACAAUGACAGCAGGAUGCCACUUCCAUUUCUGGUGCAUUUCUAGGGACAGAGAUCAGCUGAGGGAGCAGCUGCACUGCAAAGGGUUGCUGACACUGU